UCCUACGGGGGGCAGCAGUAGGGAAUUUUCGUCAAUGGGCGCAAGCCUGAACGAGCAAUGCCGCGUGAACGAGGAAGGUCUUCGGAUCGUAAAGUUCUGUUGAAGGGGAAAAAGAGCGGAGAGAGGAAAUGGUCUCCGAUUGAUAUUACCCUUCGAGGAAGUCACGGCUAACUACGUGCCAGCAGCCGCGGUAAUACGUAGGUGGCGAGCGUUAUCCGGAAUGAUUGGGUGUAAAGGGUGCGUAGGCGGCCUGCUAAGUCUGGAGUGAAAGGUACCGGCUCAACCGGUACAGGCUCUGGAAACUG
rnacentral:rRNA from 1 species